UACGGAGGGGGCUAGCGUUGUUCGGAAUUACUGGGCGUAAAGCGCACGUAGGCGGCUUUGUAAGUUAGAGGUGAAAGCCCGGGGCUCAACUCCGGAAUUGCCUUUAAGACUGCAUCGCUAGAAUUGUGGAGAGGUAAGUGGAAUUCCGAGUGUAGAGGUGAAAUGCGUAGAGAUUAGGAAGAACACCAGUGGCGAAGGCGACUACCUGGCCUGUUUCUUGACGCUGAGGCGCGAAAGCUAGGGGAGCAAACGGG
rnacentral:rRNA from 1 species